rnacentral:rRNA from 1 species
UACGGAGGGUGCAAGCGUUAUCCGGAUUCACUGGGUUUAAAGGGUGCGUAGGAGGGCAGGUAAGUCAGUGGUGAAAUCUCCAAGCUUAACUUGGAAACUGCCGUUGAUACUAUCUGUCUUGAAUACCGUGGAGGUCAGCGGAAUAUGUCAUGUAGCGGUGAAAUGCUUAGAUAUGACAUAGAACACCAAUUGCGAAGGCAGCUAGGC